GAUCUACUCCCUCCGUUCGAAAUUAUUUGUCUCAGAAAUGAAUGUAUAUAGAACUAAAAUAUGUCUAGAUACAUGUAUUUUCGCGACAAGUAAUUCCAAACGGAGGGAGUAGCUA
rnacentral:pre_miRNA from 1 species